AUUGAACGCUGGCGGCAUGCUUUACACAUGCAAGUCGAACGGUAACAGGCCGCAAGGUGCUGACGAGUGGCGAACGGGUGAGUAAUGCAUCGGAACGUGCCCAGUCGUGGGGGAUAACUACUCGAAAGAGUAGCUAAUACCGCAUACGAUCUAUGGAUGAAAGCGGGGGACCGGAAGGCCUCGCGCGAUUGGAGCGGCCGAUGUCAGAUUAGGUAGUUGGUGGGGUAAAGGCUCACCAAGCCAACGAUCUGUAGCUGGUCUGAGAGGACGACCAGCCACACUGGGACUGAGACACGGCCCAGACUCCUACGGGAGGCAGCAGUGGGGAAUUUUGGACAAUGGGCGCAAGCCUGAUCCAGCAAUGCCGCGUGCAGGAAGAAGGCCUUCGGGUUGUAAACUGCUUUUGUACGGAACGAAACGGCUCUGGUUAAUACCCGGGGCUAAUGACGGUACCGGAAGAAUAAGCACCGGCUAACUACGUG
rnacentral:rRNA from 1 species